rfam:Allomyces macrogynus ATCC 38327 genomic scaffold supercont3.63, whole genome shotgun sequence.
GAUCCGUAACUUUGGGAAAAGGAUUGGCUCUAAGGGUUGGGCUGGUUGGUGCUUGAAUUUUCUUAGUUGCAGGGCCGCGUUUACUUUGGUUUAUGCAGCCUAGCUUCUCGGAAUUUUCUUGGGCUGGCCGGCAAUUUGAACAACCAACUUAGAACUGGUAC